CCUACGGGUGGCAGCAGUGGGGAAUAUUGGACAAUGGGGGGAACCCUGAUCCAGCCAUGCCGCGUGUGUGAAGAAGGCCCUCGGGUUGUAAAGCACUUUCAGUGAGGAAGAACGCCUGGUGGUUAAUACCCAUCAGGAAAGACAUCACUCACAGAAGAAGCACCGGCUAACUCCGUGCCAGCAGCCGCGGUAAUACGGAGGGUGCGAGCGUUAAUCGGAAUUACUGGGCGUAAAGCGCGCGUAGGUGGCUUGAUAAGCCGGUUGUGAAAGCCCCGGGCUCAACCUGGGAACGGCAUCCGGAACUGUCAAGCUAGAGUGAAGGAGAGGAAGGUAGAAUUCCCGGUGUAGCGGUGAAAUGCGUAGAGAUCGGGAGGAAUACCAGUGGCGAAGGCGGCCUUCUGGACUGACACUGACACUGAGGUGCGAAAGCGUGGGUAGCAAACAGGAUUAGAUACCCGUGUAGUC
rnacentral:rRNA from 1 species